AUUGAACGCUGGCGGCAGGCCUAACACAUGCAAGUCGAGCGGAGCGUCGGACGGGGGAGGAAUGCCUAGGAAUCUGCCUGGUCGUGAGAGAUAACGUCCGGAAACGGGCGCUAAUACCGCAUACUAGCCGAUACGCCUAGGCCGGAGUAGCUAGUUGUUGGGGUAAAGGCCUACCAAGGCGACGCUCCGUAACUGGUCUGAGAGGAUGAUCAGUCACACUGGAACGGAGACACGGUCCAGACUCCUACGGGAGGCAGCAGUGGGGAAUAUUCGACAAUGGACGAAAGCCUUAUACAGCCCUGCAGAGUGUGUGAAGAAGGUCUUCGGAUUGUAAAGCACUUUAAGUUGGGAGGCGUUACCAACAGAAUAAGCAGCGGCUAACUUCCUGCCAGCGGCCGCGGUAAUAG
rnacentral:rRNA from 1 species